rnacentral:rRNA from 1 species
UGGCGGACGGGUGAGUAAUGUCUGGGAAACUGCCUGAUGGAGGGGGAUAACUACUGGAAACGGUAGCUAAUACCGCAUAACGUCGCAAGACCAAAGAGGGGGACCCUCGGGCCUCUUGCCAUCGGAUGUGCCCAGAUGGGAUUAGCUAGUAGGUGGGGUAACGGCUCACCUAGGCGACGAUCCCUAGCUGGUCUGAGAGGAUGACCAGCCACACUGGAACUGAGACACGGUCCAG